rnacentral:rRNA from 1 species
AUACGGAGGAUCCGAGCGAUAUCCGGAUUUAUUGGGUUUAAAGGGUGCGCAGGCGGGAGAUUAAGUCGGCGGUGAAAUUUUGCAGCUCAACUGUAAAAGUGUCCUUCAAUCUUGUUUCCUUUAGAGGUGGUGAAGUAGGCCGACUUUUUGGGGUUACGGUUUAAUGCAUAGAUAUCACGAGGAACUCCGAUUGCGCAGGCAGCUUACUAAACUACUACUGACGCUCAGGCACGAAGGCGUGGGGAUCAAACAGGAUUAGAUACCCUGGUAGUCCACGCAGUAAACGAUGAUUACUAGCUGUUUGCGAUACAAUGUAAGCGGCUGAGCGAAAGCGUUAAGUAAUCCACCUGGGGAGUACGUUCGCAAGAAUGAAACUCAAAGGAAUUGACGGGG